rnacentral:lncRNA from 1 species
ACGGGUUUAGGGUUUUAGUGUUUAGUAUUUUUAGAUUUAGAGUUUAUGAUUUAUCCAAGGGUUUAGGGUUUACCCAAGGGUUUAGGGUUUUGGAUUUAGGGUUUAGGGAUUAGGAUUUAGGGUUUAGUGUUUUGGUGACGACGUUAAAAAUAUUUUUUUAAUUCUUUUUUCUGUAAUUCCUUUUUAUAUUUUAUUUUUAAAAACAUAAUAUAACUUGACAAUAUUUUUUUUCUUUUUUAAAAGAUAUCGAAUUUGAAAUAAAGAAAUUCUAUUGGUUGGUGAACUUAAAGGUUCAACCUAGGGGGUGAACCCAAGAAUAACUCUAUUUUUAUACCAUUAUGUGGUCUUUUGGUAAACCUAAUUUUUAUUGAGAUUGUUAAAAUCUAAAGAUAUUUGGUAACCAAUAAAAUGGAAACUAAAUGAGUUUAAGUUUAUAAUGAUGUAACUAAUGGACAAGUGAUUCAUGUUCUAGAAGGUUUCUCACUUUGUAACUAAUGAAAACAUGUGCCAAUGUGUAAGAAAACAUUUGAAUGAAG